UACGUAGGGUGCGAGCGUUGCCCGGAUUUAUUGGGCGUAAAGGGCGCGUAGGCGGCUCGGCACGUCCGUUGUGAAAUCGCCCGGCUCAACUGGGCGGGGUCAGCGGAUACGGUCGAGCUUGAGCAAGCUAGGGGGCAAUGGAAUUCCCGGUGUAGUGGUGGAAUGCGCAGAUAUCAGGAGGAACACCAAUUGCGAAGGCAGCUCGCUGGGACGUUACUGACGCUGAGACGCGAAAGCGUGGGGAGCAAACAGG
rnacentral:rRNA from 1 species